ACAGCAGCCGCGGUAAUACGUAGGCAGCGAGCGUUGUUCGGAGUUACUGGGCGUAAAGGGUGUGUAGGCGGUUGUUUAAGUUUGGUGUGAAAUCUCCCGGCUCAACUGGGAGGGUGCGCCGAAUACUGAAUGACUUGGAGUGCGGGAGAGGUGAGUGGAAUUCCUGGUGUAGCGGUGAAAUGCGUAGAUAUCAGGAGGAACACCGGUGGUGUAGACGGCUCACUGGACCGUAACUGACGCUGAGACACGAAAGCGUGGGUAGCAAACAGGAUUAGAUACCCUGGUAGUCCACGCCCUAAACGAUGCAUAUUUGGUGUGGGCAGUUCAUUCUGUCCGUGCCGGAGCUAACGCGUUAAAUAUGCCGCCUGGGGAGUACAGUCGCAAGGCUGAAACUUAAAGGAAUUGGCGGGGGAU
rnacentral:rRNA from 1 species